GACGAACGCUGGCGGCGUGCUUAACACAUGCAAGUCGAACGGAAAGGCCCUGCUUUUGUUGGGUGCUCGAGUGGCGAACGGGUGAGUAACACGUGAGUAACCUGCCCUUGACUUUUGGAUUACUUCAGGACACUGGGGCUUAUCCCGUAUAGGAUCUCCUGCUUCAUUGUCGUGGUUGGAAAGUGUCGGCGGUUGGGUAUGUGCGCGCGGCUGUUCAGCUUUUUGGUGGGGUAGGUGCUUACCAAGGCUUUGACGGGUAGCCGGCCUGAGAGGGUUGCCGGCAACGUUGGGACUGAGAUACGGCCCAGCAUCGUAGGGGAGGGAGCAGUGGGGAAUAUUGUACAAUGGGCGGAAGCCUGAUGCAGCAACGCCGUGUGCGGGAUGAAGGCCUUCGGGUUGUAAACCGCUUUCGCCUGUGACGAAGCGGGAGUGACGGUAAUGGGUAAAGAAGCACCAGCUAACUACGUG
rnacentral:rRNA from 1 species